rnacentral:rRNA from 1 species
UACGUAGGGUGCAAGCGUUGUCCGGAAUUAUUGGGCGUAAAGAGCGUGUAGGCGGCCCGAUUAGUCUGCUGUGAAAGUCCAGGGCUCAACCCUGGAAUGCCGGUGGAUACUGUCGGGCUAGAGUCCGGAAGGGGCGAGUGGAAUUCCUGGUGUAGCGGUGAAAUGCGCAGAUAUCAGGAGGAACACCAAUGGCGAAGGCAGCUCGCUGGGACGGUACUGACGCUGAGACGCGAAAGCGUGGGGAGCGAACAGG